rnacentral:rRNA from 1 species
UACAGAGGGUGCGAGCGUUAAUCGGAAUUACUGGGCGUAAAGCGCGCGUAGGCGGCUUUGCAAGUCGGGUGUGAAAUCCCCAGGCUUAACCUGGGAACUGCAUUCGAGACUGCAUUGCUAGAGUAUGGGAGAGGGAAGUGGAAUUUCCGGUGUAGCGGUGAAAUGCGUAGAUAUCGGAAGGAACAUCAGUGGCGAAAGCGACUUCCUGGACCAACACUGACACUGAGGAGCGAAAGCGAGGGGAGCAAACGGG